UUACGGGCAUAUCACGUUGAAACACCGGUUCGUACGAUCACCGAAGUUAAGCAACGUCGAACAUAGUCAGUACUUAGAUAGUUGGCCGCUUGGGACUACCAGAUGCUGUAAG